rnacentral:rRNA from 1 species
AGCAGCCGCGGUAAUUCCAGCUCCAAUAGCGUAUAUUAAAGUUGCUGCAGUUAAAAAGCUCGUAGUUGAAUUUCGGGACCAAUAUGUCGGUCGUGCCUCGGUACGUACUGGCAUCGUUGGUUUCUCCCUUCUGACGAACCAUGAUGUCAUUUAUUUGGUGUCGUGGGGAAUCAGGACUGUUACCUUGAAAAAAUUAGAGUGUUUAAAGCAGGCUCACGCUUGAAUACAUUAGCAUGGAAUAAUGAAAUAGGACGUUUGAUUCUAUUUUGUUGGUUUCUAGGAUCGACGUAAUGAUUAAUAGGGAUAGUUGGGGGCAUUAGUAUUCAAUUGUCAGAGGUGAAAUUCUUGGAUUUAUUGAAGACUAACUACUGCGAAAGCAUUUGCCAAGGAUGUUUUCAUUAAUCAAGAACGAAAGUUAGGGGAUCGAAGACGAUCAGAUACCGUCGUAGUCUUAACCAUAAACUAUGCUGACUAGGGAUCGGAUGAUGUUAAUUUUUAAUGACUCAUUC